rnacentral:rRNA from 1 species
UGAGAAACGGCUACCACAUCCAAGGAAGGCAGCAGGCGCGCAAAUUACCCAAUCCCGACACGGGGAGGUAGUGACAAUAAAUACUGAUACAGGGCUCUUUUGGGUCUUGUAAUUGGAAUGAGUACAAUUUAAACCUCUUAACGAGGAACAAUUGGAGGGCAAGUCUGGUGCCAGCAGCCGCGGUAAUUCCAGCUCCAAUAGCGUAUAUUAAAGUUGUUGCAGUUAAAAAGC